ACGUCCUCAGCGUGAGUUCUCUGUGUGCAGUAGGUUCGCGAAUCAUGAACGAAUCACAGCGCGAACGAGAAUCACGUCCUGACAGUUCUUCUGAGUGAGUCGCGGCAGUUCCACUCCCGGCCGACAUGCUCGCAGCCGCUGGCAUGCUAGCAGGAGCUAGGCUAGCGGUACGGCCAUUGUCGAGAGGAGGCCUGCGCUGACGGGAGGAGCUUUGCCGGGUCGCCGACGGAGGGCUCUUCGCUGCCGCAGAAGGACAUGGAGGUUUAUCGCUGCGAGCAUUUUGUUUUCACAGAGUAAUCUCGCCUCAUAACAAGGCCGCGACCUCCCAUUAGCUCGGAGCUAACGUUAUGUCUGCGAGUCCUGAUUUACAUUAUGCCAAUGAUGACGCCAUUGUGUCUGUUUGUAAGACAUUACGAGUCAGUACGCAGGACAACAAGCAGAUCGCAGCAUCGCAGGCAGAAGCUGUAAGGAGUUAAGCUCGGAGUCGAUCGAGAAGAAAGAGGCUGAUUGAAGCGAGACAGAGUGCUAGCUUAGGAUGAGGUGGACAUUUGGAAGUGCGCCGCCAUAGACUUGAUGUCUGAAGAGGAAGACGGCACAAUAUGGCGGGGUGUCUGGAUGGAUUGUGCGACCUCCGUCCUUUCGCAGCCGAGAGCCACGCUGCAGUCACAUGAGAGGCGAUUCCGAAGUUCAGGGCAGCGCACCACAGACAUCUGCAAAAACAGACACUUCGUGGUGCUGUAGGAUUUUGGGCUUCUCCUGAGCUUCCCGUUUGUUGUGUGGGAAGAUUGUGCCUUGUACAUAGUUGUGAUGUGAUUGUGUUUGUGCUAAUAAAGCUCUUUCUUUGAACAAA